UUGAUCCUGCCGGAGGAUACCGCUAUUGGAGUUCGGUUAAGCCAUGCAAGUCAGGGCACCUAGAGUGCCCGGCGUACGGCUCAGCAACACGUGGAUAAUCUACCCUAUAGUAGCGGAUAACCUCGGGAAACUGAGGAUAAUACGUUAUGGGAAAUCGAUACUGGAACGUUCUUUUUCCGAAAGCCUUCGGGCGCUAUAGGAUGAGUCUGCGGCGGAUUAGGCUGUUGGUGAGGUAAUGGCCCACCAAACCUUUGAUCUGUAUGGGGUGUGAGAGCACUGGCCCAGAGAAUGGUACUGAGACAAGGACCAUAGCCCUACGGGGUGCAGCAGGCGCGAAAACUCUACAAUGCGCGAAAGCGUGAUAGGGGAACUCCAAGUGCCGGCUUUUGCCGGCUUUUGCCAAGUUUAGAUGGCUUGGCGAAUAAGGACUGGGUAAGACCCGUGCCAGCCGCCGCGGUAAUACGGGCAGUCCAAGUGGUUUCCACGCAUAUUGGGCCUAAAACGUGCGUAGCCGGCCUAGAAAGUCUCUGGUGAAAUCUGGCAGCUUAACUGUCAGGCGUGCCAAAGAAACUUCAAGGCUUGGAGCCGGGAAGGGUUGGAGGAAUUCCUAGGGUAGGAGUAAAAUCCUGUGAUCCUUGGAGGACCAUCGGUGGCGAAGGCGUCCAACUGGAACGGGCUCGACGGUGAGGUACGAAAGCUAGGGGAGCAACCCGGAUUAGAUACCCGGUUAGUCCUAGCCGUAAAUGAUGCUGGUUUGGUGUGACACAACCCACGCGGUUGUGUUGUGCCGUAGGGAAGCCGUUAAGCCAGCUGCCUGGGAAGUACGACCGCAAGGUUGAAACNUAAAGGAAUUGGCGGGGGAGUACUACAAGGGGUGGAGGCUGCGGUUUAAUCGGAUACAACGCCGAACAUCUCACCAGGAUCGACAGCAGAAUGACGGUCAGUCCGAAGGGCUUACUUGACACGCUGAGAGCUGGUGCAUGGCCACCGCCAGCUCGUGCUGUGAAGUGUCCUGUCAAGUCAGGCAACGAGCGAGACCCGUGCUUCCAGUUGCAAACUCUGUUCCACGGAACAGGGAGCACUCUGGAGGGACUGCCGAUGCUAAAUCGGAGGAGGGAGCGGGCGACGGUAGGUCCGUAUGCCGCGAAUUUCCUGGGCUACACGCGGCCUACAAUGCCACGUACAAUAGGAUGCAACUCCGAAAGGAGAAGCCAACCCCGUAAAACGUGGCUAAGUUUGGAUUGAGGGUUGGGACUCACCCUCAUGAAAAUGGAAUCCCUAGUAAUCGCGAGUCACUAUCUUGCGGUGAAUACGUCCCUUCUCCUUGCACACACCGCCCGUCAAACCAUCCGAGUGAGGUCUAGACGAGGCGCAGUCCACCAAGGGCUGUGUCGAAUCUGGUCGUUGUGAGGAGGGUUAAGUCGUAACAAGGUAACC
rnacentral:rRNA from 1 species